ACGAACGCUGGCGGCAUGCCUAACCCAUGCAAGUCGAACGAGACCUUCGGGUCUAGUGGCGCACGGGUGCGUAACGCGGGGGAACCUGCCCUUAGGUUCGGAAUAACUCCCCGAAAGGGGUGCUAAUACCGGAUAAUGUCUUCGGACCAAAGAUUUAUCGCCUUUGGAUGGGCCCGCGUUGGAUUAGCUAGUUGGUAGGGUAAAAGCCUACCAAGGCGACGAUCCAUAGCUGGUCUGAGAGGAUGAUCAGCCACACUGGGACUGAGACACGGCCCAGACUCCUACGGGAGGCAGCAGUGGGGAAUAUUGGACAAUGGGCGAAAGCCUGAUCCAGCAAUGCCGCGUGAGUGAUGAAGGCCUUAGGGUUGUAAAGCUCUUUUACCCGGGAUGAUAAUGACAGUACCGGGAGAAUAAGCUCCGGCUAACUCCGUG
rnacentral:rRNA from 1 species